AAGGUGUGGCUAUAAAGUUUAGGAGAGAUGGAUUUAGGAAUUUCGAUGUAUGUAUGUAUGUUGGGGGGUGUUCCUCCGUCUUGGGGCCUAGUUUCUGGGGAUCGAGGCAACGUUUUGCUGGAUGCAUUGGCCCUAUGGCGUCUGGGUUGAAUGGAAGGCCGGAUGGCUUUCUUCGCUCCUCAGCCUGGCUCACUCGAUGCAAGGUGGAUGCAAGCGUUGCAUCAGUGGGUGCACGCGCGUGGCAGGGGUCUGGCGUCCGCUCACCUCCUCCCUCUCAUUUUCAUCUUCCCAUUCUCAACUGCUCUCCUCUUCCCUCUCUCCCUUGCCGCCGCCGCCUCCACCAAAUCCCCUACGGUCACCACCACUCGUUCGGCGUCUUCUCCGAUGGUGGACUGGCGGCCGACCUCGAGCUCCCUCGGCCGACCCCGGUGGAGAAGCUGCAGCCGCUAUUACAUCCCUUGCCAUCUCCAUCGCCGGCUUCCUCGCCAUUGCCGGCGCCGCCUCUCUUUUCUGUCGCCACAAUCGCCUUCUCCGACCGCCAGGCCACCAGAUCCGGCGACCAUGGUGGCGUUGAGCAGCUAGGAGCAGCUGGGAGCGCCGGUGAAGCAAGUCAACGAUGAGAUUGAGGGGAUUUUUUUUUGUUUUCUCUUUUCUAUUUUCAAUUGAGAGAAGAGCGGAGGAGCGCGCGUGGCAGAUCCGUAUGAGAGGCCAGCGACGGAGGAGCGUGGUACUGGCCGGCCGGCGGCAGAGGAGCCGGGAACGGCUGGCAGCGAUGAGGCAAGAACUCCUCUCCUCGACGACAAUGAGGAGGACAAACGCUUCUAUCUUUCUUUUCUUUUUUUUUCCAGCGCUUUGCAGUCAAAUGGUGGGGAAAUUUUGGUGACUUUUUUUUUUUGAGAACUCAACAAAUUUCGCUUUGGUGCAAAGAAUGCUGGCUGAUUUUUAAUACCAAUAUUAUUCUUUGUAUGUGAAAAAUUGUUUAUACCUAUUGUCUAGAUUUGAAAUUUUUGUAUGGGAUAUUAUAGAGGUAACCUCACCCAAUUAAAUGAAGAGGUAACCAGACUCAAAUCUAUCCAACCAACCAAACAAAAUAUUUUCCAAACCGCAUCUCUCAUGCACUCAACCAAACAAAAUCUCAUCUCAGCCGGGCUAAACCGAUGCAAACAACCAAAACAGUUGCAUGUGUAUCUCUUCAUCUGGGCUAGACUCAACCAGGAUGAAAGAGAUGAGCCAGGCUAGGAAAAUGCAAGCAACCAAACACACCCAAUUGUUGCUGUGGUGUGGUGGAUGACUCAGGCUGGGCCGUGGUUGCUCUCAUGAGUCAUAGCAAAUGGGUUGAUGGCGUCUAUUCUUGAUUGUGCUUUUGAUGCGUUCUUCGGUAGCAAUGUUUGUUCUCUAGCAAUAGCCCAUGGAUCAAUAUGGAUUAAGCAAACCCUUGGGCCUUCCGGUGCUAAUUAAGGAGUUUUGUCAUGUGUGGUUCACAUUAUCAAUGAGAUUUUGUUUUAGGACCUUGUUACAGUGCAAUGAGUCUGCGUUCAGGAUUUGUGGUUGGUUGGGAUGACAAAUUGGGGAAAAUGUGUUACACCUUAGUAACAGAUCUGGUUUAGGAUAGCCAGAUAAACGGUACAUAUGCCUAUUGAAGUGUAAUUUAUGGAUGUAUUCCCUAUAUUUCCCCCCCUAUUUUGACACAAAUCCAUAGCUUACAAAACAACCACUGUAUGAAACUUCUAUCAGGAUCAUGAGCAAGUUUGCAAGGGGUCUUAUUACCUGGAAAUGAUCAACUUGUAUUUACUUUGUAAAGGUCGUGUUACUGAAAUAUGAAUUUGUUCUUGAAUAUGUUUACUCUCUAAAAGCCUAACAUGUCAUCGAAAAUAUGGCUACCAAAUGCUUGCCAUUUCAUAAUUAUCCAGAAAUUUCUUAUAUAAAAGUGUUGCUUUAUUCAAAAGCACAUCAACACUGAUUUUCAUUUGUCACCCAGCUUUGGGGAUUAGGUAAAUGAAUCAACUUUAGUUGUGAUAUUGGGGUCCAUGAAAGAUUGGGAAAAAUUAAAUAUAUUGGACCUUUGCCGAGCAAGGUUCCGAUUCUCCCUGAACUGUGGUAGUCUUAGUCAUCUUUCUUGGAUUUGUGCAACACAUGGAUUGACUGGUUAUGCUGUAUUGUAAUGUAAUGUCAUGGACUCGAUUUGUCCUAAUCUUUUGCUAAUUACACUAUAUGUAUUAUGCCUUUUUUUUUCUUUUCAGCCAUGAUUCCCUGUUCACUGAAUUCUGAAUGUAGAUGGUUCACAUUGUAUCCAACUACCAUAAAUCAUGAGAAAUUUAGUUCAAUCACACCUUCAUGUCAUACAUAGAAACAUCGAUGGGCAUUAAAUUUUGUUUACACAUUGCACUUCUAACUAAUUUCUCUAGACCACAUAAGCUGUGCACUCAUUUUGGAUUGUUUCUUUGAUCUGUGUUCAAAUUUCAAAUGCUCACAAAAAAAAAUCUCUACAAUAUCUCUAUCAUCAUGUAAAAAAAACUAACAUAUGUAAUAUGUCUUGAAUCCCACAAUACUAUACAGAUGUUCAAACACAAAUCUCUUUCAUCAAUAGUUGUUAGUUAGUAUAUUUUGCAGAGAGUGUGUGCUAGACAGCUACGCUUGUUGCAGCUUAUGUCAUGGCAUCAAAUCAUUAGUUUUUUUUAUUCAUUAUAGUUUCUUUGCUUUGAGUUGUUCUACUCCUAUAUGCUAACAAUUGAAAACAUGCUCCAAAUUGCAAAUUAUGUCAGUUUCAAUUACCAUAUGAUUUGAUCAACACACACCUACCGCCUCAACAACUUUCACCUGCUUUGUAUUGACCUGCAUGUGUUCUCAUCGGAGUUCUUCGUCAUCGUAGUCUUGCAUUAGUCAUCAUGACUGACAAGUUCACUCUAACUCCAUUUGGUAGUAAUUUUUACUUAAAAACAGGGUGUUUAAUUGUUAAGCAAUGCAAGAUCCAUUUCUUUGUAUAGGUCCAAAUUAAAUGCAUACGACAACCAACUCCACUAGCAAGAUCGGUUGCGUCAUUGUUUCAUAGUGGUGGGGCUGUACAAGCUACUAGUAGAUCAUGAAGCCUGGUUGUCUUCCUAUAUAAGGAUUGGUUUCAGAUCCUUGGGAGACUUGACCUCUGCAUGGUCAUGGAAGUUAUGUGUAUAGUGGCAGUACCUUGUGUAGUGUCUCGUGUAUCAGAUAUUGUUUGAUAUCAGAUUCCUAUUAUCAACUCAGUAUGAUUGCUUGCACUUAGCUUUCCUGGCCAUCCUUUUCCGUAGUAUCUUUGUUAGUGAGUUCAUGUUUCUAUCCUCACUUUCAGACAGAAUCUCUGAACAUUGGUUUUUCUCUCAGAAGCUAGAAGAUAAUUUAUUUUGAGUUCGGUUCUCUACAUCUUAUCAUAAUUUACAGAGUUUUCCAUUCACUUUUGCAGUUUCUAGCUAUGUUUGCCACAUGUAUAUCAAAUAUAGUGUCAUGGGAGGAAUCCAUCGCUGCUCUUGGACCAGCAAAGGGCAAUGCAUUGCCAUUGGUGGGUGGAAUCAAGGUUGGCUAUUGUAGUGAAAGGCAAACUAGAGGCCCUCUUGUUGCAAAGAUGUGGUGGAUCCUUAACUACACUGCGAGCCUCCCAGGCCUCACCACCAUGAAUUGCCCAUCUAUGCCCUCCCAACCCAAGCCCCAGCUCGGUAAACCCUCGUAAGAGGGGUUCCUUGUUCUGCACGUGCCCAUCGACCACUCCUGCAAACCGUUCUCCUGCCAAACGCGGUUGAACUCAUCGGUGUUUUUUUCCUUCAUGGGAUAGCACUGGUGAUACCUAACUAUAUAUAUUUAGCAUAUAGUUUCUCACCUCAUAGGACCAUCCUAUUUUCGCCUCCAUUAACCGGCUUGGUUUUGCUGUGCCUUUUGUUUUGGAUGGUGCAUUGCAUUGUGAUUGCAAGGUUGCAGUAUUUGCCGAAUGAACUGUACUUGAAGUGCUAAUUGAUUUGCUGAUCUGAUCCCCAUGUGACACCUCGUGCCUGCCAAUUUUUGAUAUUGCCCUUGAGAUGGGGGCACUAUAGCCUCUUUCGGUGGCCAUAGUGCUGUUUAUAAACUGGAAUUGCUGGAUAAAGUGGCCUUAUUAUUCAUCCCUUCCUAACAUCAUUUGGCACCAUUGUGUUGUUCCAUCCAUUCCAGGCAUUAUUUUGCCUAUAUUUUAGAGUAAUAUUUGACUCAGGGUUGCACAAUGGAGACAUGGGGUAGUUACAGUCUCUAUUAUUUUCAUAUUCCACAGGGUUGCCCCAUGGAGUUGUUACAGCCUUACAGGCUAAGUACCACUGUACUACACAAUGCAUCUUGUUUCCCACUAGUUGGGUUUCUCACUUUUGCCAUGGAUCUCGUCUCAAUCUCGGCCUCCUGCCUGCGUCUGUUCUGCUUGUCUUUGCUGCAAAGGUCCAUCCAUACUGUCACCUGCACUGCUCUAGUAGUAAUAAGAUCUGAUUCACUUGCUCUGCCACUGGCGAAAAGGACGGCACUGGAAUUUUUGUAACCUGACACCUGACAGGAUAUGUGGACUCCUACGUGUUUCUUGUAUGCCGUUUCACCGGCAGAUUGCUCUGUUGCUUUGCAUGAUAUACUACCUUGUGAGUUGUGACUGGUGCCUCGUCGGUUGUCACGGUGAGUUUGGCAUGGUUGCUCCAUCAGAUGAUGUCCUUAGCUGGAGAAGCACUUAAAUCCGUUAGAAGUAUAGUGAUGAUGUUGGUUUAGAUCCUACUGCCCUUGCGUGUGGAUCAAUUUUAGCAGUAGAAAACGUAGUAAGGUUUACUGGGGGUGAAAACGGUUGUAAUCGAUAGCAUCUCUAGAAACAAAGCUUGAUCUAUCUGUAAUUGAUCAUAUCUAUUAUUUAAACUGCUCGGUAUCCAUAUUAAUUUC